CCUCGUGGGUGUUUUGAAGGCAGACCGUGGUCCUCCCGUGCAGCUCACGCAGCUGACCAGCAGGCUUCAAGUCGAAACGCCAUCCUACACAUCCAUCAGCAAACCAGCGACACAUUGAGGCCCAAUAAGUCCAUCUGGUUUUGGUUUGGCUCUUGGAGAUCGCCCCUGGGGAUGUGGAUGGAGGGCAAGGCGGGGCAGGUCGAGGCGAGGCGGUGGAGGAACAUUCAGACGAGAUCAACGGUAUAUCAACGGGAAGUGUCAGCCAAAGCAAGAUGAAGAAAUGCGCACCAGCCAACAUAUUGAUAUGUGCCACCGCACAGCUCGCACAGUUGCUAUCGCUGCAGUGAGAUCAGUCGGAGAAGCUCCUGGUAAAAAAUCAACGCAGGAGUGAGAGAAGACAAGUGGAGAAGGAAGCAGGACAAUGGCAGUCUGUUCUCAUCUACGGUGAUGCCACACAAUGCAUCAUCAUCAUCAUCAUCAUAAGCAGCAGCAGCCGCAACGUCAUCACUUCGAGGUCAAGUAUUUCACCCCUCGACGGUUAAGAUCCCUUCAGUGUCUCCUGUUCUACAAGCGCGUGCUCAAGACCGUAAAUGAGCCUUUGGUUUUUUUAUAUCGCAUGAUCGAGUAGCCGUCUGGGUAUCAAGGAAGACGAGUCCAUCGUGAUAGUGAAGCGCAUGAGCGGGGCUGUACCUUUUCUUUCUGGGACUUGGCCUUGAUGACUUUGGCUGCCAACGUCAGACCAGAUGAGUUUUCAACACACUUGUGCACUUGACCAAAACGACCCCUUUGGAGAAAGACAAAAUAGGGAGACAAAUUACACUGGAAAUCGAAGAGCAAAACGCCAUUUUGUUCUCACUGAGCAACUACUUGGCGAUGGCUUUGAUCGCGUGUUAAUGAAAAAGAAUUGAUGAUCUCGGCGCAAACAAACAAGCCUAAUCUGUUAUUUCAUUACAGCGGAGCUCGCCGGUGCCUCCGCUUUGAAGAUGUGGAUUCACACUUAGUGAUUAGCAAGCAGCUGGCACCAGAGAUACAGUUUCACAUACCGCUCAGUCCGGCAAUAAAAAUAGACGGCAAGACUCUAGAGUUAUGAAGCGGAAAAGGUGAGGAGGGGGACUGGGCAGGGGGGCAGAUUAUACAAGGCUUCAUCGUGGGAAGGGAAAGUAUGAACCCUUUCACCGAAACAUAAACAUGCCAUCAUCAUUCUUUUUGUUUGAAAUUCAUACUGGAUUUUGAAGAGCAUCUCUCACCCGCCCAAGACCUCCUGCCAAUUGAUGGUGUAGAAGUUGCUGAUCUGGUUGGGUUUGGCCGACACGAUGCGGUGAUUAAACGGCGCUGCCGGGGGAGGAGUGCUAUC